rnacentral:rRNA from 1 species
UACGUAGGUGGCAAGCGUUGUCCGGAUUUACUGGGCGUAAAGAGCGCGCAGGCGGUCGUUCAAGUCGAGUGUGAAAGCCCCCGGCUCAACUGGGGAGGGUCACUCGAUACUGAUCGACUGGAAGGCAGGAGAGGGAAGCGGAAUUCCCGGUGUAGUGGUGAAAUGCGUAGAUAUCGGGAGGAACACCAGUGGCGAAGGCGGCUUCCUGGCCUGUUCUUGACGCUGAGGCGCGAAAGCUAGGGGAGCAAACGGG